rnacentral:lncRNA from 1 species
GGAGGUUUGAGUUUAAAGUUGAAGAGGAUGUAGUAAUCUUGAAGUGUAUAAAGGAUAUUAAUAUUUGGAAAAGAAGGAUAAGAUGAAGUAGAGCUUAAGUAGGGUGGUGUUUCCUAAGUAAGGGGAUAAUAGUUUUUAGUAUCGUAAAGGUUUUAUACUAAGUUCAAUAAUCAGAAGGAGAUGAUUGGAUUUUCUCAGUAGGUAGCACCAUUAAAGUAGAUAGUAAAAGGAAUGUUCCAAGUAAAAUGGUUCACACAAGAGAAAGGUUUGACUUUGGGUUGAGGUGGAGGAUUACAAGUGACGAAAGGGGAAACACUUUGUUAAUAUUUUUCUUGUAGGGAACGAUAAAAUAGUAAUAUCAAAACACAAUCAAGGAGGAAAAGAGAGUAAAGGUCUUAAGUUGCAUGAAAGGUGUUUGCGAUAGCUGAUGUUGAAACAGGUAGCACAAAUACUCUCAUUCAACUUGUAUGUCACAUAAAUGGUAGUUGUGUUAAGUAUUUAGGUUUGGUUUAUGUCAUAUGCACAUGUAGAUGAAUCGGGGUUGCCUACGAGGGUAUUGGAGCUUGAGUUGGUGGUUUUUGUUAUGGCUUUGAUCAAGUGAAUAAUGCUUUGGUGUGUGACAUGUUUCAUGGUGGUUAAAAGAUCCAAAUUAAAAGUUAAUUUGAUUUGUUUCCUUUUCAAGGUUGGGACAUAAUUGCAAGGGUGAAUUGGUUGUUUUACAAUCUCAUUCUUAUAUAUUAGGGUACCCAAAGAAUAAAUUUUCCUGAUUCUUGGGGGUAAGUUAGUAGUUGCUAUCUAGAGUGGAAAAAGUUGGAAAGUAGGGGUAGAGUAUUAUGUGGUUUAGGGUUGUCUAAUAAAGGCCAACGAAGAGCAGACACAAGGGAUCUUAGUUAUGAAAAAGUUUCUAGAUGUGUUCUGAAGGAGGUGUCCGAACGACCACCUAAAAGAAAGGUGGAGUUCACUAUUGACUUAAUUCUUGGAACAUAACAAAUGUUAAUAGCUUUUUAUAGGAUAGUUCCUACCAAGUUGGUAGAGGAACUAUUAAAGAAGCAACGAUUUAGACUCAGUAUGUCAUCGUGAGAAACUAUAGUUUAGUGGAUCUUAAAGGAGAAGUAGUAGUAUGUCAAUUUGUAUAAGUGUAAGUCUUGGUUAAGGGAGGAGUAACUCUUAGGACAUAUGGUUCUAAUGAGUAGAGACAAUCUUGAGGAAAGGGCGUGCUAAGGCUAUCAAUGAAAAUGGGAGUUCCAAGGGUCUUGCAAUUUUUAUAGAAGUUUUGAAUGGCGUUUCUCAAAGGUGGUCAUUCCCUUGUCAUAACUGACACGAAAGAAUUAUCCUUUUGAGUAAACAAAGAAGUGAGAAUGUAUGUUAAUCAGAGUGAUGCAACGGAAUAGUGUUAAGAUAUCUUUAAAACAAAAAAAGGUGUUAUCUUUAAAACGAUAAAGG